rnacentral:rRNA from 1 species
UUGGGAAUCUUGGACAAUGGGGGAAACCCUGAUCCAGCCAUGCCGCGUGAGUGAUGAAGGCCUUCGGGUUGUAAAGCUCUUUUACCCGGGAAGAUAAUGACUGUACCGGGAGAAUAAGCUCCGGCUAACUUCGUGCCAGCAGCCGCGGUAAUACGAAGGGGGCUAGCGCUGUUCGGAAUUACUGGGCGUAAAGCGUGCGCAGGCGGCUUCUCAAGUCAGUGGUGAAAGCCCGGAGCUCAACUCCGGAAUUGCCAUUGAAACUGUGAGGCUUGAGGAGGAGAGAGGUGAGUGGAAUUCCCGGUGUAGAGGUGAAAUUAGUAGAUAUUGGGAAGAACACCGGUGGCGAAGGCGGCUCACUGGCGCGUAUCUGACGCUCAUGAACGAUAGCGUGGGGAUCAAACAGG